GAUGAAGAACUUAGCGAAAUGCGAUAAGUAGUGUGAAUUGCAGAAUUCAGUGAAUCAUCGAAUCUUUGAACGCAUCUUGCGCUCCUUGGUAUUCCGAGGAGCAUGCCUGUUUGAGUGUCAUUAAAUUCUCAACUCUCCUAUACUUUGUUGUAAAGGAGGGCUUGGAUUGUGGAGGCUUGCUGGCCGCUUGAUGUGGUCAGCUCCUCUGAAAUGCAUUAGCAGAACUGUUUGCGAUCUGCCACAAGUGUGAUAAAUUAUCUACACUGGCGAGGGGAUUGCUCUCUGUGUUCAGCUUCUAAUCGUCUUCAGUGACAAUUUCUUGAAUGCUUGACCUCAAAUCAGGUAGGACUACCCGCUGAACUUAAGCAUAUCAAUAAGCGGAGGA
rnacentral:misc_RNA from 1 species